AUUGAACGCUGGCGGCAGGCCUAACACAUGCAAGUCGAACGAGUGGCGGACGGGUGAGUAAUGUCUGGGAAACUGCCCGAUGGAGGGGGAUAACUACUGGAAACGGUAGCUAAUACCGCCUACCAUCGGAUGUGCCCAGAUGGGAUUAGCUAGUAGGUGGGGUAACGGCUCACCUAGGCGACGAUCCAUAGCUGGUCUGAGAGGAGUACCAGACCCACUGGAACUGAGACACGGUCCAGACUCCUACGGGAGGAAACAGUGGGGAAUAUUGCACAAUGGGCGCAAUCCUGAGGCAGCCAUGCCGCGUGUAUGAAGAGGUCCUUCGGGUUGUAAAGUACUGUCAGCGAGGAGGCGUUACUCGCAGAAGAAGCACCGGCUAACUCCGUGCCAGCCGCCGCGGUAAUAC
rnacentral:rRNA from 1 species